rnacentral:rRNA from 1 species
UUUAAGCAUAUCACUCAGUGGAGGAACAGCAAGCAACUGCGAUUGCUUCAGUAACGGCGAUUGAACAGGCAAGGACAGGGCUCUGCCCAGACGUGAGUUCCCCUCUCUGGCCCGAACCCUCACGCGUGAGCGGUGACGGUCAUGAUCGGCUAUCAUGGAAUCUCUGCAAAUGCUGUGGGCUGUGGAGCGGCCGGCUGUGCUGUCGACGACUGUGGCAUCUGGAAUAGUCCCUGGAACGGGCAGUCAAAGCGGGCGAGAACCCCGUACGGUGAAGUGCCAUGGUCGUGCGGAUGGUGUGGCUGGUCGCAUCCAGGAGUAGAGCUGUUUGGGACUGCAGUUUGAAGCGGGAUGUGUAUCCAUCCCAAGGCAGAAUACAGACCAGAGACCGAUAGCGCACAAGUAGAGUGAUCGAAGGAUGCAAAGAACUCAGCGACGAGGGUUAAAAGUUCCUGAAGCCUCGGCAGGAAUGGCGGUGGAUGAUGCUGUGGGUUUCGCUUCGUCCUUGUGGCAGCAGCCGCUGACCACUCGGGCAUCCAAACAAGCUCCAGGCAGCCUCGGGCCAGCCUCCCGGACCGGCCACUGAGCCUUCGUACGUUCACCCUCACGGGAGAGCGGUCGCGGAGAUGUAAUCGUGGUAUCCGGAGAGUGUCAGCAAGCCUGCCCGGGCCCGAGGUUUGUCAUGACCGGUGGUGCAAAAAAAAUCUUGAUCAGACACUGAAUGAACGUUGCAGUAGCGAGUACGACACUGGCCCGCAAGGGCCAGUCAUCGGGCCCCGUUCACCCAGCCGGAUUCUCGGGAGACAAAGGCGUCAUUGAAGUGGCUGCACCGUGUUCCACGGUGGUCACUGUGAGCGUCGCUCCUCCGGUCGGGGCCUGGUGCAGAAGGCAGAUUCGAUGCCUGGCCACACACACCCUUCACGGGCUGUGUGCCAGUGCCAUCCACUGCCCGUCUUGAAACACGGACCAAGGAGUCUAUGGAGCUUGCGAAUGGUUGUCUGGCCCGCCAAAGCCAAAUCAGAGGGCAAGGUGAAAGCAACAGACCAUCCCGGACGUGCCCGCGUCAUCAACGGCACCGCAAGGGAUCACCGGACCUGCAGUCCGGCGGACGGGGUUUUGAGUGCAUGCAAGGUCCGUGGGACCCGAAAGGUGGUGAACUAUGCCAUUCCACACCGAAGCCAUGGGAAACUGUGGUGGAAGGUGGUAGCUGUUCUGACGUGCAAAUCGUGUAGCCCGAGAGUGGCAUGGGGGUGAAAGGCCAAUCGAACCACCUAGUAGCUGGUUCCCUCCGAAGUUUCCUUCAGGAUAGCA